rnacentral:rRNA from 1 species
AUGAACGCUGGCCGCGUGCCUAAUACAUGCAAGUCGAGCGAACAGACGAGGAGCUUGCUCCUCUGACGUUAGCGGCGGACGGGUGAGUAACACGUGGAUAACCUACCUAUAAGACUGGGAUAACUUCGGGAAACCGGAGCUAAUACCGGAUAAUAUAUUGAACCGCAUGGUUCAAUAGUGAAAGACGGUUUUGCUGUCACUUAUAGAUGGAUCCGCGCCGCAUUAGCUAGUUGGUAAGGUAACGGCUUACCAAGGCAACGAUGCGUAGCCGACCUGAGAGGGUGAUCGGCCACACUGGAACUGAGACACGGUCCAGACUCCUACGGGAGGCAGCAGUAGGGAAUCUUCCGCAAUGGGCGAAAGCCUGACGGAGCAACGCCGCGUGAGUGAUGAAGGUCUUCGGAUCGUAAAACUCUGUUAUUAGGGAAGAACAAAUGUGUAAGUAACUAUGCACGUCUUGACGGUACCUAAUCAGAAAGCCACGGCUAACUACGUG